UUCCGCUACAAAUGUAACAAAACAGGAGUCAGCGUUUAAGGUGGUAAACCAGAAAUCUUAACUGAUUUACGCCGUAAAACUGCACGUUCCCAUUGAUUACGAUGUCUCGCCUACUGGUGCUUUGUUUAUGGAACUGUAAUAUCGACGGACUCUCCCUUAUUUUGAUAAAUGGAAUAUAAAACAUAAACGACAGCGUCCUUCGAUAAAAAGGAGCUUUCAUGCUGGUGCAGAAGCUACUUAUGGAACAACUCUGCCACUGCCAAGUAAUCCAAUAAGUACUAUCCCUGGCUGACCACCUGAUUGUCUCACAGGUCACAAUUCAAUAAUCCCUUUGACAGAUAAAUUACUGAAAACACCAACCCAUCUCAACAUCUUUCUUGGAUUAUCCAUUUAAAUCUUGUGGUGAUUAAACCAGCUAUGCCGAUUCACUAUCCAAUAAACCACUGGACUUCUAAAGACAUUCAGAAUCUCCUGCUAAUGAAUGUGCCACAACAUAACAGUACAGGACUGAACAAAUUCUCUCUCUUGAAUCUUGCAUUAAUCUCAGAUAGAGAACAUGGAUCGAUGGAUGUGUUAAAUCACAAAAGAAAAUUGACCUAAUACUGAUUCACAAUACAUUUCCUGGAUCGGGGGGAAAUGGAAGCAUGACAGAGUUAACUGCAUUUGGACAAUACAAAUAAAAUAAGAGCCAGGCUACUAAAUAAACGGAAACAUGAUCUGAAAA